rnacentral:lncRNA from 1 species
GUAAGUUAACUCAUCUUUCUCCUCCUUCCUGCUUCUUAAUUUAUUCUUCAGCCUUCAUAUUGACUCCCCGACCUUUCUUACAGAUUGGGCACCAUCUUGUCGCCAAUGUCGAGGUGGUGAAGAUCGCCAAGAGGGAGGCAGCUCGGGCGGAGGAGGGUCGCCUAGCUAGGGCCGUCCGCCUCGAGGAGAAGAUUGUCGAGGUCCUGAGUCUCCAGGAGGUGCUGAAAAAGGAGGGACAAACCUCGUCCGAUCUGAGGACUGCCUUGGAGGAGGAGAGAGAGAAGGUUGAGGUCGAAAUCUCUGAACUGAGGGUGCAGGCUUUCGAGUUGAAGGCACAGGUUUCCGAGCUGAAAGCACGGAUUCUGUCCCUGAUUUUGGAGGUAGGGGCCCGAGCAGUGGAGG